ACCACAAGUUCCAUGCAAGUUAGCGCAAGCGUGGAACACGCAACUCAAAGGGAGAACUUAAUGAGAAGCGGCGCGGAAAUGAGAGAGGUUAUCAAGAAGAUGUAAGGAGGAGCGAAAUAUUCGAGGAAGCCGUGAUUUUUUAAGCUGAACCUGGACGCGGAUGUCAUGAAAUGCGCUUGCAGCCUGUCCGCCGUAGCAUUGCCUUCCGUAAUGAGCAAGUGACUCAAGUCGUUGCUGAAGAACGCGUUCGCGCCGCCGGUGUCGGUUACAGCCAUUAUUUGUAUCGGCAGAUUUGUUCAAGGGUCACGCUACGUCGCCGAUACGUACUUGAGAGUUGCGAGCGACGCUUUCCGCUUCGUGGAGUAGACAAGUAUAAAGCCGUG